ACCCAAUAGAUACCCUGGUAGUCCCAGCUGUAAACGAUGCAGACUAGGUGUUUGGACGGCCACGUGCCGUUCUAGUGCCGCAGGGAAGCUGUUAAGUCUGCCGCCUGGGGAGUACGAUCGCAAGAUUGAAACUUAAAGGAAUUGGCGGGGAGCACCACAAGGGUGGAAGCUUGCGGUUUAAUUUAGGAGUCAACGCCGGAAACUACUCACCGGGAGGCGACAGCAGCAUGAAAGACCAGAUUGAAGGUCUUGCUAGACGAGCUGAGAGGAGGUGCAUGGCCGUCGCCAGUUCGUGCCGUGAGGUGUCCUGUUAAGUCAGGCAACGAUCGAGACCCGCGUCCUCUGUUGCAACCAGCUUUGUGCUGGGCACACUGAGGAGACCGCCACUGAUAAACGUGGAGGAACGGAGCGGG
rnacentral:rRNA from 1 species